GAAGCGGCAACAGCUCAAAUUUGAAAUCUGGCGCAAGCCCGAGUUGUAAUUUGCAGAGGAUGCUUCAGGGCAGCGACCGGUCUAAGUUCCUUGGAACAGGACGUCGUAGAGGGUGAGAAUCCCGUAUGCGACCGGUUGGCACCCGUCACGUAGCUCCUUCGACGAGUCGAGUUGUUUGGGAAUGCAGCUCUAAAUGGGAGGUAAAUUUCUUCUAAAGCUAAAUACCGGCCAGAGACCGAUAGCGCACAAGUAGAGUGAUCGAAAGAUGAAAAGCACUUUGGAAAGAGAGUUAAAAAGCACGUGAAAUUGUUGAAAGGGAAGCGCAUGCAACCAGACUUGUCGGCGGUGUUCCGCCGGUCUUCUGACCGGUCCACUCGCCGCCGGCAGGCCAGCAUCAUCUGGGCGCGCCGGACAAAGGCGCGGGGAAUGUAGCUCCUCGGAGUGUUAUAGCCCCGCGCACAAUACGGCGCCGCUCGGGUGAGGUCCGCGCUUCGGCUAGGAUGCUGGCGUAAUGGUUGUCUGCGGCCCGUCUUGAAACACGGACCAAGGAGUCUAACAUCUAUGCGAGUGUUCGGGUGUCAAACCCCUACGCGGAAUGAAAGUGAACGGAGGUGGGAAGCGCAAGCUGCACCAUCGACCGAUCCUGAUGUCUUCGGAUGGAUUUGAGUAAGAGCAUAGCUGUUGGGACCCGAAAGAUGGUGAACUAUGCCUGAAUAGGGUGAAGCCAGAGGAAACUCUGGUGGA
rnacentral:rRNA from 1 species